AUGCUCUGGAUUAAAGGUGUUUUUGUUAGUUUUCUAUCGCUAUCGUUUUUUGUUGUGUCUGUGUUCACAGUCACAGAGACGACACAACACUACACCUGUACGGAAGAGCUGCACCAUGUAGAGUCUGAAUAUGCGAUGAAAAACCCAGACUGUGAUCAAUAUUGGUCUGCACAGGAUCAUUCUAUUGCAACAUUUCUUAAAUUCACCCCAGAGUGUCAUAGUCCAUGCAAAGAGUUGUUCGUUGGGAGAAUCGUUCUGACUGACUGUGUCAAUAUCACCCUGGCUGUAAUAUGCACAAGAGAUUAUUUGACUGAAUACCGUGUACAUUUUUAUGGCGAAAGAGUCUCUCAUUCUCUGAUCAUCCCUGUGAACAGAGGUCACAUUGGUAUUUUCCUGCCUGUCACCUUUGUGCUCAUAGCCAUUGCGGUGUGUCUUCUGUGUGUCAGAUAUGCAUACAAAAACAACAGAAGCAAUGUUCAAGGCACUCACUGUGAUAUGGGAUAA
ensembl:lncRNA